CGAAAACUCUACAUCUGGUCUUUUUAGUUUUCUCAAGCGCUGAAGCCAUCGACAGCAUAUAGACAAAAGACUGGCACGAAGGCAGACCAUAAACAACAGACAGGCGACGUUGGCUUCAGGGAUUUUCAGUUAUAAGAUCUGGUUUUUGCCAAGCGUUGAACAACAAGAACCAAAAUGGCAGCCUUCGUGGCGAAGCAGAUGGUCGGCAACAAGCUGAACGCAGUUAAAGCUUUGUGCAAGAUCCUCUCGUCGUUCCCCAGCCACGUUAAAAGUUAUGCAACGCGACCACUGCAUUCGAUGUCGCAGAUGAAAGAACAUCGCGGCCUUUGGAAUUUUUGGGAAAAUCCACAAUACUUUAGUCUAGGCUUUUUAUUAUAAUUGUAUUUAAAUAAUAAAACUUAAUAGUAGUUGUUUAUAAUUUAAUCCGAUUAUGUUUGCCUGAGAUUUAUGACAAUAGGCUUGGGCUCGAAGUGACACAUCUGGUCGCUAAACGUAACCACGAUCACGGGAUGGACGUUUUUACCUAACAGAGGUAUGACAUAGUUGUAUAAUUCUCCUUAAAAAUAUAGUUGACCCAAGGGGUACAGAGAGGUACAUAGAAAAGUACAUGAGUUCAGUUUCACUUAGACUUUUGACAAGUAAGCAUAUUCGUUAUUGAACCUAAGAUUAUUGUCAUUAGCAUCUCGAGUACCUAAUCGUCACGAUUAAUUGUCAAAUUCUGUAUUAGUCAUAUAAUCACCUUGUGGAUUUAUUAUUAUAUUCAUUUAGGGACUAAGUAAUCAUUGUUACUGUAAUAUAAGUCUUUAGCGAG
rnacentral:misc_RNA from 1 species